GGCAGGAUAAUUCAGCUGGUUAGAAUAGCGGAAUCAUAAUCCGAACGUCGGGGGUUCAAGUCCCUCUCCUGCUA
rnacentral:tRNA from 1 species